GACGAACGCUGGCGGCGUGCCUAAUACAUGCAAGUCGAACGAACUCUGGUAUUGAUUGGUGCUUGCAUCAUGAUUUACAUUUGAGUGAGUGGCGAACUGGUGAGUAACACGUGGGAAACCUGCCCAGAAGCGGGGGAUAACACCUGGAAACAGAUGCUAAUACCGCAUAACAACUUGGACCGCAUGGUCCGAGUUUGAAAGAUGGCUUCGGCUAUCACUUUUGGAUGGUCCCGCGGCGUAUUAGCUAGAUGGUGAGGUAACGGCUCACCAUGGCAAUGAUACGUAGCCGACCUGAGAGGGUAAUCGGCCACAUUGGGACUGAGACACGGCCCAAACUCCUACGGGAGGCAGCAGUAGGGAAUCUUCCACAAUGGACGAAAGUCUGAUGGAGCAACGCCGCGUGAGUGAAGAAGGGUUUCGGCUCGUAAAACUCUGUUGUUAAAGAAGAACAUAUCUGAGAGUAACUGUUCAGGUAUUGACGGUAUUUAACCAGAAAGCCACGGCUAACUACGUGCCAGCAGCCGCGGUAAUACGUAGGUGGCAAGCGUUGUCCGGAUUUAUUGGGCGUAAAGCGAGCGCAGGCGGUUUUUUAAGUCUGAUGUGAAAGCCUUCGGCUCAACCGAAGAAGUGCAUCGGAAACUGGGAACUUGAGUGCAGAAGAGGACAGUGGAACUCCAUGUGUAGCGGUGAAAUGCGUAGAUAUAUGGAAGAACACCAGUGGCGAAGGCGGCUGUCUGGUCUGUAACUGACGCUGAGGCUCGAAAGUAUGGGUAGCAAACAGGAUUAGAUACCCUGGUAGUCCAUACCGUAAACGAUGAAUGCUAAGUGUUGGAGGGUUUCCGCCCUUCAGUGCUGCAGCUAACGCAUUAAGCAUUCCGCCUGGGGAGUACGGCCGCAAGGCUGAAACUCAAAGGAAUUGACGGGGGCCCGCACAAGCGGUGGAGCAUGUGGUUUAAUUCGAAGCUACGCGAAGAACCUUACCAGGUCUUGACAUACUAUGCAAAUCUAAGAGAUUAGACGUUCCCUUCGGGGACAUGGAUACAGGUGGUGCAUGGUUGUCGUCAGCUCGUGUCGUGAGAUGUUGGGUUAAGUCCCGCAACGAGCGCAACCCUUAUUAUCAGUUGCCAGCAUUAAGUUGGGCACUCUGGUGAGACUGCCGGUGACAAACCGGAGGAAGGUGGGGAUGACGUCAAAUCAUCAUGCCCCUUAUGACCUGGGCUACACACGUGCUACAAUGGAUGGUACAACGAGUUGCGAACUCGCGAGAGUAAGCUAAUCUCUUAAAGCCAUUCUCAGUUCGGAUUGUAGGCUGCAACUCGCCUACAUGAAGUCGGAAUCGCUAGUAAUCGCGGAUCAGCAUGCCGCGGUGAAUACGUUCCCGGGCCUUGUACACACCGCCCGUCACACCAUGAGAGUUUGUAACACCCAAAGUCGGUGGGGUAACCUUUUAGGAACCAGCCGCCUAAGGUGGGACAGAUGAUUAGGGUG
rnacentral:rRNA from 1 species